GGAGUUGUGCAUGGACAUCUAA
rnacentral:miRNA from 1 species